CUUGAACUUUAGGAAUCACUGAAAACUCAUGUGCACUUAGAUUUAGUUAAUUUUAAAUAUGUUACAUUAUUAAAAGAUGUAAAGAUGUUUACCUAAGUCACUGCUCAAGAAGGGGCAAUUACCGACUUUGUAAUAAUAAAAAGAAUAUUUCUCUGUAAUACGUUGUUGAAUAACAACCAGAAUACCAAGCAAGUGUGUACAUAGGAACAUGCUACUUCCCUCUUGCCCGCAUUCCCUCUGUGAGGCACUGUCUGCUGUAGAGCUCUACAGAAUUAGACCUUCAGAUUUAGACAGCAUGGACUCUCUUCCUUGGUUUUCAGUUUUUUAAGAUAAAUUUUUAAAAACAAAUUUUAUGGCAGUUCUCUUAAGGAAUUUAAAUUCCUCCUUUUUAGCCAGCAGGGAAAUAAGACUUUUUUUUUUAAUCCCU
rnacentral:lncRNA from 1 species